rnacentral:lncRNA from 1 species
CCCUUGUAGCACGUGAAUUUUAACUUGAGGUCAAAUGUCAGGGUUAUCCUUGAAGUUCUAGUGCAUUUGUUUAGUUCUCAAAUACUAUUUUCUCGCCCCUUGUCAGUGAAUUGUAUAAGAUAUCCAUGAACGAUACAUAUUUAUAAAGAAAAAAAACUAAGUAACAGUCGAUUAUAAAUCUCGUGAGAACUAUAACAGGUACAACGAGACUACACUAUUGAAAGAACAAAUACAUUUGUAUUACGUUGUAUCCUUCUCAGCAACUACAUCAUUACAAAGGUUGCAGAUAGAUUUUUAGGCCUUUCCGUUGAAAGUGAAGGAAUCCGAAUGCCGCUAAAUGAUAAAAAUGGGAACGAUGGUUACGUUUGAUCUUGUGACCGGAAGCUAUCCACACUGUUUUGAGUUAUGAUACCCUCUUUCCAAAGAUACACGUGCAAAUACCAAGAGCAAUGCUGAUAACUGUCAACACUCCAAGCACGACAUAAAUAGAGGAUAUUAUCCAGAAUGAAAAGUAAUACAGCGUUGGAUUGCAGUAAUUAUCUAAAAUGGAGUUACUGCAUUGCCAGUCAUCGUAAGUUCUGUACACCCAUACAUUUCCU